rnacentral:rRNA from 1 species
GGGGGGGGCAAGCGUUGUUCGGAAUUACUGGGCGUAAAGGGCUCGUAGGCGGCCAACUAAGUCAGACGUGAAAUCCCUCGGCUUAACCGGGGAACUGCGUCUGAUACUGGAUGGCUUGAGUUUGGGAGAGGAUGCGGAAUUCCAGGUGUAGCGGUGAAAUGCGUAGAUAUCUGGAGGAACACCGGUGGCGAAGGCGGCAUCCUGGACCAACACUGACGCUGAUGAGCGAAAGCCAGGGGAGCAAACGGGAUUAGAUACCCCGGUAGUCCUGGCCCUAAACGAUGAAUGCUUGGUGUGGCGGGUAUCGAUCCCUGCCGUGCCGAAGCUAACGCAUUAAGCAUUCCGCCUGGGGAGUACGGUCGCAAGGCUG